rnacentral:rRNA from 1 species
GCUUGCAUCCUUGUUGGUUAGCGGCGGACGGGUGAGUAACACGUGGGCAACCUGCCUGUAAGACUGGGAUAACUUCGGGAAACCGGAGCUAAUACCGGAUAAUUCCUUUCCUCACAUGAGGGAAGGCUGAAAGACGGUUUCGGCUGACACUUACAGAUGGGCCCGCGGCGCAUUAGCUAGUUGGUGAGGUAACGGCUCACCAAGGCGACGAUGCGUAGCCGACCUGAGAGGGUGAUCGGCCACACUGGGACUGAGACACGGCCCAGACUCCUACGGGAGGCAGCAGUAGGGAAUCUUCCGCAAUGGACGAAAGUCUGACGGAGCAACGCCGCGUGAGCGAUGAAGGCCUUCGGGUCGUAAAGCUCUGUUGUUAGGGAAGAACAAGUACCGGAGUAACUGCCGGUACCUUGACGGUACCUAACCAGAAAGCCACGGCUAACUACGUGCCAGCAGCCGCGGUAAUACGUAGGUGGCAAGCGUUGUCCGGAAUUAUUGGGCGUAAAGCGCGCGCAGGCGGUCCUUUAAGUCUGAUGUGAAAGCCCACGGCUCAACCGUGGAGGGUCAUUGGAAACUGGGGGACUUGAGUGCAGAAGAGGAAAGCGGAAUUCCACGUGUAGCGGUGAAAUGCGUAGAGAUGUGGAGGAACACCAGUGGC